rnacentral:rRNA from 1 species
CGGGAAAUCUUACCGGGUCCGGACACACUGAGGAUUGACAGAUAUACGCUCAUUGCAGUGCUUCGGCGCCGCAUGGGCUGAAAGAUGCUAGUUCUUUCAUGAUUAUGUGAUAGGUGGUGCAUGGCCGUUCUUAGUUCGUGGAGUGAUCUGUCUGCUUAAUUGCGUAUCAAUAAUAGAGACCUAGUAUACGCGUGGAUUUCGCGUGGUAGUGACCCCCUGUUUAACCGCAGGCGUGUGUCGCACACGCGUACCACGCACUGGUCUCAGAUAGCAACGAACGUGACCGUAUUCUAUUGUUGCAGUGAAAUGUACCUUCGCGGGUACGACCCACUGCUUAGUAUAUGUACGUGCUUCGGUGCGAACAAUAUACAUUAAACUAUAGAGACCGCUGUUUCUUCUUUAAACCAGAGGAAGGAUACGGCAAUAACAGGU